rnacentral:rRNA from 1 species
UACGUAGGGUCCGAGCGUUGUCCGGAAUUAUUGGGCGUAAAGGGCUCGUAGGCGGUUUGUCGCGUCGGGAGUGAAAACUCAGGGCUUAACCCUGAGCCUGCUUCCGAUACGGGCAGACUAGAGGUAUGCAGGGGAGAACGGAAUUCCUGGUGUAGCGGUGAAAUGCGCAGAUAUCAGGAGGAACACCGGUGGCGAAGGCGGUUCUCUGGGCAUUACCUGACGCUGAGGAGCGAAAGUGUGGGGAGCGAACAGG